rnacentral:rRNA from 1 species
AUUGAACGCUGGCGGCAUGCCUUACACAUGCAAGUCGAACGGCAGCACGGAGCUUGCUCUGGUGGCGAGUGGCGAACGGGUGAGUAAUAUAUCGGAACGUACCCUGGAGUGGGGGAUAACGUAGCGAAAGUUACGCUAAUACCGCAUACGAUCUAAGGAUGAAAGUGGGGGAUCGCAAGACCUCAUGCUCGUGGAGCGGCCGAUAUCUGAUUAGCUAGUUGGUAGGGUAAAAGCCUACCAAGGCAUCGAUCAGUAGCUGGUCUGAGAGGACGACCAGCCACACUGGAACUGAGACACGGUCCAGACUCCUACGGGAGGCAGCAGUGGGGAAUUUUGGACAAUGGGCGAAAGCCUGAUCCAGCAAUGCCGCGUGAGUGAAGAAGGCCUUCGGGUUGUAAAGCUCUUUUGUCAGGGAAGAAACGGUGAGAGCUAAUAUCUUUUGCUAAUGACGGUACCUGAAGAAUAAGCACCGGCUAACUACGUGCCAGCAGCCGCGGUAAUACGUAGGGUGCAAGCGUUAAUCGGAAUUACUGGGCGUAAAGCGUGCGCAGGCGGUUUUGUAAGUCUGAUGUGAAAUCCCCGGGCUCAACCUGGGAAUUGCAUUGGAGACUGCAAGGCUAGAAUCUGGCAGAGGGGGGUAGAAUUCCACGUGUAGCAGUGAAAUGCGUAGAUAUGUGGAGGAACACCGAUGGCGAAGGCAGCCCCCUGGGUCAAGAUUGACGCUCAUGCACGAAAGCGUGGGGAGCAAACAGGAUUAGAUACCCUGGUAGUCCACGCCCUAAACGAUGUCUACUAGUUGUCGGGUCUUAACUGACUUGGUAACGCAGCUAACGCGUGAAGUAGACCGCCUGGGGAGUACGGUCGCAAGAUUAAAACUCAAAGGAAUUGACGGGGACCCGCACAAGCGGUGGAUGAUGUGGAUUAAUUCGAUGCAACGCGAAAAACCUUACCUACCCUUGACAUGGCUGGAAUCCCCGAGAGAUUGGGGAGUGCUCGAAAGAGAACCAGUACACAGGUGCUGCAUGGCUGUCGUCAGCUCGUGUCGUGAGAUGUUGGGUUAAGUCCCGCAACGAGCGCAACCCUUGUCAUUAGUUGCUACGAAAGGGCACUCUAAUGAGACUGCCGGUGACAAACCGGAGGAAGGUGGGGAUGACGUCAAGUCCUCAUGGCCCUUAUGGGUAGGGCUUCACACGUCAUACAAUGGUACAUACAGAGCGCCGCCAACCCGCGAGGGGGAGCUAAUCGCAGAAAGUGUAUCGUAGUCCGGAUUGUAGUCUGCAACUCGACUGCAUGAAGUUGGAAUCGCUAGUAAUCGCGGAUCAGCAUGUCGCGGUGAAUACGUUCCCGGGUCU